UACGAAGGGUGCAAACGUUGCUCGGAAUUACUGGGCGUAAAGCGCGUGUAGGCGGGUUUUUAAGUCAGGGGUGAAAUGCCAAGGCUCAACCUUGGAACUGCCUUUGAUACUGGAGACCUUGAGUCCGGGAGAGGUGAGUGGAAUUGCGAGUGUAGAGGUGAAAUUCGUAGAUAUUCGCAAGAACACCAGUGGCGAAGGCGGCUCACUGGCCCGGAACUGACGCUGAGACGCGAAAGCGUGGGGAGCAAACAGG
rnacentral:rRNA from 1 species